AAUAGUGCUGGAGCCAACACCUCCUCGUGUUUACAUGUCAGGAAGCUGUGUUGGAGGGAAUACAUACCCCUUCAAAACUAUGUGGGCAUUCACUUAGGAACAAGGCACUUUAGUUCCACAACAGUGCAUCUAAACAAAUGCUUACUGAUUCCCAUGCUUGCUUUUCCUUUUAGUAAGAAGCAUUACUUUUUGGUGGUGUGUUUAAAGCUGUGGCUUCUGGAGACAAAGCCAACCCCCUCACUCUCCAAAGCACUUUGAUGCCAAGCAGAGCUGGAGCUCCCAACGAUCAGCACAAGGAGCUGCAAACCUGCUGAGGGCUGUUCUUACUGCUGACCUUCACAUGGAAAGCCUGGCAUGAUGGGAGGGUCUCUAUGGAAGGCAGCGAUGCUGGCUGUGCUAGGAGUGAGAAAGCAGGCAUCAAGAUCUCCCUGAGCAUCCCUAAAGGCAAAGCAACUGCACAAACACCAGCUGGACUUGUAGGAAAGCGAGUGGACAACAGGUGGAGCAAGUGCAUUGUGGUAAAGCACGCUCAGGAAAACGGGAUCAGUUUUACACUCCUGUGUGCACGUGGGGACAGCAAGGACCAUAAAGGAAAUACAAAGUUUGACAGUGAGAAUCCAAGCAAACCUGGGUGAAAGACCUCAGUCUCGUUGCGAGCACAGAUAUUUAUUGAGAUAAAAGAGAUCACGCAGCAGUUUGAGAUGUGCAAAAGGAGCAAUCCUCCUGUGUGACUUGGAAAUCGCCCAGCUAAUCCUGCAG